CACGAACGCUGGCGGCAGGCUUAACACAUGCAAGUCGAGCGCCCCGCAAGGGGAGCGGCAGACGGGUGAGUAACGCGUGGGAAUCUACCCAUCUCUACGGAAUAACGCAUGGAAACGUGUGCUAAUACCGUAUACGUCCUUCGGGAGAAAGAUUUAUCGGAGAUGGAUGAGCCCGCGUUGGAUUAGCUAGGUGGUGGGGUAAAGGCCUACUAAGGCGAGGAUCCAUAGCUGGUCUGAGAGGAUGAUCAGCCACACUGGGACGGCGACACGGCCCAGACUCCUACGGGAGGCAGCAGUGGGGAAUAUUGCACAAUUGCCGCAAGCCUGAUCCAGCCAUGCCGCGUGAGUGAUGAAGGCCCUAAGGUUGUAAAGCUCUUUCACCGGUGAAGAUAAUGACGGUAACCGGAGAAGAAGCCCCGGCUAACUUCGUGCCAGCAGCCGCGGUAAUAC
rnacentral:rRNA from 1 species